GCCGGGGUGGCUCAGCUGGUUAGAACCUUUGGGCUAGACUAAAGCGCUGGACUCAUAAUCCAGAGGUCGCGGGUUCGACCCCCGCCCCCGGCA
rnacentral:tRNA from 2 species